rnacentral:lncRNA from 1 species
AAUUCAUAGUCCAUGCUCAAGAUCGAAUGGCAUCUCUCAGACUGGAAGACCUUUCUGAAGUCAGUUCCAGACAUCCCUGGAAGGCUGGAUAAUUUGGGAAAAGGCUGACUCAAUGUAAGUUUGGCACCUUUCCAUGACGAGGAUCUCUACAGGACUCUGCCUGAGAAAUUUUAUACAUUCCUCCAAAGAGGAAGAAACUAAAAUCGAGAGAGGUUAAUAAUUGUGCCCGAGGCUACACAGCUACUAAGCAAACCAGAUCUAUGCUCAAAGCCCAUGCAGGACUGUAACCACGGUGCAAGAUCAAUCCUCCUGCUUGGAGAACUGAUCCAACUCCACACCUGUAUCUUCAGGUUGGACUCGCUUCUUCAACCCAUGUACAUGUCCAGUAUUCCUUCAUCAUUGACAAAUACCUUCCUUUGACUUUACUGAUUCUCUGACUACCACCUUUUCAAUGAAGAAAGACUUCCCUGGCCAGGUGCCAUCCCUCGGUGCUUCCACGGUUACUGACGCGUGUAUUCUCCACAGCAAUUACAACUGGAUCAAAAUC